CUCCGGUUGAUCCUGCCGGACCUGACUGCUAUCGGAUUGGUACUAAGCCAUGCGAGUCGUUGUAGCAAUACAAGGCGGACGGCUCAGUAACACGUAGUCAACCUAACCUAUGGACGUGGAUAACCUCGGGAAACUGAGAAUAAACCGCGAUAGAUCAUUAUGCCUGGAAUGGCUUAUGGUUCAAACAAUUUAUUGCCGUAGGAUGGGACUGCGGCCUAUCAGCUUGUUGGUGAGGUAAUGGCCCACCAAGGCUAUAACAGGUACGGGCUCUGAGAGGAGAAGCCCGGAGAUGGGUACUGAGACACGGACCCAGGCCCUAUGGGGCGCAGCAGGCGAGAAACCUUAGCAAUGUGCGAAAGCACGACUAGGUUAAUCCGAGUGAUUUCUGUUGAAGAAAUCUUUUGUCAGUCGUAAAACCACAGACGAAUAAGGGGUGGGCAAGUCUGGUGUCAGCCGCCGCGGUAAUACCAGCACCUCGAGUGGUCAGGAGGUUUAUUGGGCCUAAAGCAUCCGUAGCCGGCUACGCAAGUCUCCGGUUAAAUCCAGCUGCUCAACAGAUGGGCUGCCGGAGAUACUACAUAGCUAGGGAGCGGGAGAGGUAGACGGUAUUCUGUGGGUAGGGGUAAAAUCCACUGAUCCAUAGAGGACCACCAGUGGCGAAGGCGGCUUGCCAGAACGUGCUCGACGGUGAGGGAUGAAAGCUGGGGGAGCAAACCGGAUUAGAUACCCGGGUAGUCCCAGCUGUAAACGAUGCAGACUCGGUGAUGAGUUGGCUAUAUGCCAUCUCAGUGCCGCAGGGAAGCCGUUAAGUUUGCCGCCUGGGGAGUACGGUCGCAAGACUGAAACUUAAAGGAAUUGGCGGGGGAGCC
rnacentral:rRNA from 1 species